CCUACGGGGUGCAGCAGUGAGGAAUAUUGGUCAAUGGACGAGAGUCUGAACCAGCCAAGUAGCGUGAAGGAUGACUGCCCUAUGGGUUGUAAACUUCUUUUAUAUGGGAAUAAAAUGUUCCACGUGUGGGAUUUUGUAUGUACCAUAUGAAUAAGGAUCGGCUAACUCCGUGCCAGCAGCGGCGGUAAUACGGAGGAUCCGAGCGUUAUCCGGAUUUAUUGGGUUUAAAGGGAGCGUAGGUGGAUUGUUAAGUCAGUUGUGAAAGUUUGCGGCUCAACCGUAAAAUUGCAGUUGAAACUGGCAGUCUUGAGUACAGUAGAGGUGGGCGGAAUUCGUGGUGUAGCGGUGAAAUGCUUAGAUAUCACGAAGAACUCCGAUUGCGAAGGCAGUUCACUGGACUGCAACUGACACUGAGGCUCGAAAGUGUGGGUAUCAAACAGGAUUAGAUACCCCUGUAGUC
rnacentral:rRNA from 1 species